UUUCUACUCCCUCCGUCCGAAAAUACUUGUCAUCAAAAUGGAUAAAAAGAGAUGUAUCUAAAACUAAAAUACGUCUAGAUACAUUUCCUUUUAUCCAUUUUGAUGACAAGUAUUUCCGGAUGGAGGGAGUAUUUG
rfam:Triticum aestivum genome assembly, contig: Triticum_aestivum_CS42_TGACv1_scaffold_004620_1AL